UCAGCCAGGCCCCAGGCUCCCCCCGGCCGGGCGCCGCCGCCGCGGAAGCGGGCAGGGAGGGGCCUGCAGGCUCCAGGCCGGGUGCAGCCCGGUAACUACCCCCGGCGAGCAGGGUCCCGCGGGCCCCCAGCACUGGGCUCGCUGGGGCCCAGGGCGCUGAAGCCGAAGCCUGAGCAAUGCAGCUUCACCCAGGGUGGCAGGAAUAUUGGCAGAGAAGUGUCUGAAUCAAGCCCCGCAUUUCAUGUUGAAAAGACAUGGAGUGAAAACACAUUUUACAGGAUAUGCAGAGAAGAUCAUGUGCAUUGUUCUGGACAGCAUUAAAGUAUGUCAAAGCAACUGUGCAGGUGAGAGGGCAGAGGAUAAAUGACAGACGCAUGGCUGAGCACUGGAAGUAGAUUUAUUCAACACACCCCUGCUUCACACAGGACCAAGUUACAUUGCAGCAGACUGACUACCCAACUUGAAUUCAACAGAGCACAGCCACACGGGCUGAAGACAGGUAGCUUCCUCUACUUGACCUUCUUCUUGGGACGCAGAUUAUUGGUGUGGCCACACUUUUUCUUACGGCAGUUAACAGCACGAGGGUGCAGGCGGGC